CCUGACCUGAAUAUUGACCUGAACUCCUGUCGGGAGGUGUUAGCUUCUGGACCAGAGCCCUAUCUGCCAUGAAGCCAUUGUGGUGUCAUAGGGGCUUCUGAGAGAUCCCAGGCUGGAGACGGAAAGCAGAAGAUUUGAAGAGGUGGGAGGCAGGGGCUGGUGUCAUAACACACUUUCCACCCCUGGGCUGGGAGGGGCACUCCCUCCUGCUGAACUCUCCCAGGCCGGUGACCUCAUCUUGCUCCUGUGCUUGUUUUCCAAAGGGUGUUGUAAGUUGACUGUCUGCUUUCUUCCACAACACUCAAAGUGUGGCCUAUGGAGCAACAGCUUCAGCCACAGCUGGG
rnacentral:lncRNA from 1 species